UUAUUUUUUAUGUAACCCUUGUACCAUUUCAGCAGACCUUUCAUUUGUGGAGGUAGAUCCUCUUCCUGCGCAGGCUCGACGAGAGGCCCAUUCUUCACAUAUGUAAUUACUACCUCCUUCACUGGCGCCUCAUCAAGGCCUAACAGUUCACGAAGAGUAAUACCUAAGUUGGCCGCUUGUUCUCUGGCACUCGUUACAGUCAAUCCAUGUGCUGCCGCAGCUGCUAUGAUAUCGGGGUCAUCCGGACCGGCGGCUUUCACUAUAAGCGGGGCAAUCGAUUGUUUACUUUGUUCCCCGAGCUGGGCAACUCGUUUCCCGCUUUUUUUACUUUCUAAUUCCGUUUUCUCGGCCUCCUCCAAGGCUUUGUUCUCCUGGUUCUCCGCCCGCUCUUUCUUCUCCUUCAACAUGAGUGCCUGCCUACGAAGUUCACGUGCAUAGUCGUCAGGCAGAUUCUUCGCGGCUUGGGACGGUGUGCUCAAAAAUGACUUAGCCCACUUCUUUUGCUCAUCAGAAAAUACUGGCUUGAGCUCGGGCUCUCUUUUCUUCUUGUAGUCCGCCUUCCAUUUCUCAUGAUCAGCAGCCGCGGCCGCGGCAGUUUCCUCGGCACUACGUUCCCAAGGCCUUGUGGGGAGAGGCUUCAAUGAUGGCUCCGGUACCUUUGUGGUCUUAGGUACAUAAGGGUCCGGGUUAAUAAUCCAGGACUGCUUCUGCUUCUUUGCCGGAGGUGGAUUGGGGGGCGGCGUCUGAUCACCCGCCGGACGAGGACUGGGGGGCGGCGUCUGAUCACCCGCCGGACGUUGUGGACUGGGGGGCGUCGGCUGACGUGACGGAGGUGUAGGUGAACCGCCACCACCAUAGGGGGGUGGACUUGUUGUCCUUGGCGCCUCGCCUGGAAACUUGAUAAACUUCUUUUGCCAUAGAAUGAAAUGGCGCUUGACAUCUCCAAGUCUUUUCUCCCCUUCAGGUGUAGCAAUGUCAAUCUCCAGGUCCUCAAACCCUUGGACUAUGUCCUCCACCGUGACACGAGCAUAGCCAUCUUGAAUGGGGNNNNNNNNNNNNNNNNNNNNNNNNNNNNNNNNNNNNNNNNNNNNNNNNNNNNNNNNNNNNNNNNNNNNNNNNNNNNNNNNNNNNNNNNNNNNNNNNNNNNGUGAUUUCUAGUGCAAACUAUUCAAUAAUCUAUUUAUGUUAUCCAGAACAAAAAUACUUCACACACUUUUGUGUUUUGUCUAAUUGCAGGUGUAUGGGACAUUUGUACAAUCCACAUAUGAAGAUAAGGAAGAAAGAGAUGUUUAUUUGCUGUCCAAAAAGUUCUCUCACGUCACUUUUGGCCCAAGAGAAGAUAGAGUCCAAGUCUCUCACGUUCUGGAUUCAGAUUCGGACUGCACAGACAUACCUGACUCAAAACGCACACAAGUUUUUCAUACGGACUCCGCAUUGCGUGAUUCUUUUUUUGUUGGAAACUAGAUUUCGUGCACUUUCCAACCCAAUUGGAAUCACCUUCAAAUUCGUCCGGAGCGUUGAGUUGUGGACGAAACAAUCUGAUGCUGCAGCAGAAUCCGAGUCAAACUACAAGUCCAAAGGUGUUACAUCACCUCCACUUGGGCCCAUUGGCCUUGUACGACCUAGAUUUAGUUUUAGGCUGCCUUGGGACGUCCUCCCACCUCCUUGGCCGCCACCCCUUGCUCCUAUAUAAGUAGAUCCAUCUAGUAGCUUUUCCUUGGGGGAUUUGUUUAGUUAAAAGUUAGCCAUUGCAACUUCGUGUACUUCGUUUGUGUCCAACGAUCAGACCCAGACCGCUUCCGGAUCCCCACCUUUAUCAAUACUUCAUACAUAUUUGCAAUAUUCAGAUUGCUUUUAUCAUAUUCUUGCUCGUUCUUCGAUUGCUUGCAGGAAUAGACCUUCGUGGUCAGGUUGAUCGUGCACCGGCGUGGUCAAUAACCUCUGGAGAUUGGUUUAGCGAUUGCUAAGGCGCAACGUCGUGCACGUUUGUAGUCGGAUCGUCAAAGUCGACUCCACCAAAUCGAUAGUUACCAUCUCAUCGAAAGAUCGGGACACCCCCGCCUCUAUCAUAUCCUCCCAAGGAACACUAGGUACAGGCAAAGGCAUAUAUAAACCAUGAGGAUUGAGUCGUGACUUAGCUUUUUGACAUGUAGUGCAGCGAGCAAUAAAACGCUCAACAUCCCGUCUCAUCUUUGGCCAAAAGAAAUGUGUAGCAAGUACGUCCUCCGUCUUUUUCACGCCAAAGUGUCCCAUUAAUCCUCCUCCAUGUGCCUCCUGCAACAACAAAAGACGAACGGAGCUAGCUGGAAUGCAUAGCUUGUUAGCACGAAACACAAAUCCAUCGUUAACAACAACUUGUUCCACAUUCUUCCUUCUUUACAAUUCUGCAUUACAUCUUUAAAAUCAGCAUCAUGCACAUAUUGAUCUUUGAUGGUCUCCAAACCAAAUAUUUUGAAGUCAAGUUGUGAAAGCAUAGUAUAGCGACGAGACAAUGCAUCAGCAAUAACAUUUUCUUUUCCCUUCUUGUAUUUAAUGACAUAAGGGAAAGUCUCAAUGAAUUCAACCCAUUUAGCAUGUCUACGAUUCAGUUUAGCUUGACUUUUAAUAUGUUUCAAAGAUUCAUGAUCAGAAUGUAUAACAAAUUCUUUGGGCCAUAAAUAAUGUUGCCAUGUUUCUAAAGUUCGAACAAGAGCAUAUAAUUCUUUAUCAUAAGUAGAAUAAUUCAGAGUAGGCCCACUCAAUUUUUCAGAAAAGUAUGCAACAGGUUUGCCAUCUUGUAAUAACACACCUCCUAAUCCAAUUCCACUAGCAUCACAUUCAAGCUCAAAAGUCUUAUUAAAAUCAGGAAGUUGGAGUAAAGGAGCAUGUGUCAACUUAUCUUUCAAUACCGUGAAGGCUUCUUCCUGUGCGGUACCCCAAAGAAAAGGCACAUCUUUCUUUGUAAGCUCAUUGAGAGGUGCAGCAAUGGUGCUGAAAUCUCUCACAAAACGCCUAUAGAAUCCAGCGAGGCCAAGAAAACUCCUCACUUGUGUGACCGUUUUGGGCUGCGGCCAACUCUCAAUAGCUUCAAUCUUGGCUUUAUCAACUUCAAUUCCCUGUGGAGUAACAACAUAGCCAAGAAAAGAUACUCGGUCGGUGCAAAAGGUGCACUUCCCAAGGUUACCAAACAAACGUGCAUCACGUAGAGNNNNNNNNNNNNNNNNNNNNNNNNNNNNNNNNNNNNNNNNNNNNNNNNNNNNNNNNNNNNNNNNNNNNNNNNNNNNNNNNNNNNNNNNNNNNNNNNNNNNAGUGGUCAGGGGCAUAAGGGUUCUAGCAACCAAAGGUUUUGAAGGGGAAGAGAUCAAUAAGGAAAGUAUACCUUAGUUUUCGAAAAACUGAGAAGGGAAGAGAAGUACAGAUAGUUUUGAAAACUAGUAGUAGUUUUUGGAAAUAGUUUUACCCUAACUAACGACCAUGCUAACUAAGGCUUCCUACAGUCAGGAUGGCUCUGAUACCAGCUCUGCGGGGACCCCGACUCAUAAGUCGAGAUCACCGAAUGCACGUGUACAGUGGUCCCAGAGAUCAAUGCUCACUGAACACACAGAAGCUGAAUAACAAGAGUCUUACAUCCAUACAUACCCUCUUACACAAAUUAUGACCAUUAUGGUCAAGUCUUACAUUGAUAAAGCCUUAAGGGUUGAACAUCAAAUGAAACACAAGCAACGGAAAUCUUCGUUGAUAAGUAGAACCCAUGCCAUCUGCCUUAACCCUACAGGCAUUCUGACUGGGAAACGUCCUAGUUCGCAUGUUCAUCUCCAAAGAACUCUUCUUCGAACUCCGGUUCUUCCAUGCCUGGUCAAUUAAAUAACCAGUGGCAAGCCAAUGAGUACUUUGAAUGUACUCGCAAGCAACCCAUGUUUUGGUCCAAGAUGUAACAAUACAUGAUAUAGGUAAAUUUUUGCUGAAAGCUAGUUUUGAGUGCAAUGACAUGUUCAACAACUUGUAAGACAUGCAUCAAAAGAAUUCAAGUAACCAUGAGGAUAGGUUACAGAUAUCAACAUAAAUAGAGUGGGCACCAACCCAACUCAAUCAUGUCAAGUCCCUUGACUUGACCCAAGUAGUUUUAUCAACACACACACGGUUUGUAAACAUGUGGACGUAGCCCAAGAGCGGUUACCCAAUUGUCCUUGACCGUGGACACGGCUAUUCAAAUAGUUUUCCACUCUGCAUAGGUUGCACACUUUACCCACAAGAUCCGGGGAACUUCCAUGUCAUCCACGACCCGCGGUACCUCGAGUACCCGGGGUAAGCACCCAAUCACUACCUUUCCCUAGAUGACACUAACAUGGAGUCCACUCGAUUGGUAGUAACCCCCGUGCCCAACAUUUCACAUCUUAAAAUUGUGGAGCAUCGCUCCCAUAUUCAUUGCAUACUAGCACGGGGUACCAACGGUGUGUCCGGUGCCCCAUAAAAAUGUUCUUGGCCACCCUACCUGGCACGACCCCGUCCCGAGAGAGUGCACCAACAACUCUCAUGUCACUGGUAAUGCGGGCUCCAAGCUAGUAUCGGUCUAGGUAAUCAAUAAUGCCCUUUCCCAUAUAAGGGUAGAGUGGUUGUGCAUGUAAGGUUGGAAUAACGGUCGCAACUUAAACCAAUCCGUUUUGAAAACAACACACACUUGCCUCGGUAAACCACUUCGUCAUCAAGUGGCUACCCAACUCAUCAUCUCCCCCGGGCAUAAGUGGCACCCCAUGGGGUUUUCGAAAAGUCUUUUGAAAAUACUUAGUAUCCUUCACCAUGCAUAUUCCCGUCCCUUUUUGCGUAGCACUACUUUAGCAUCCUAUCUACUCCCAUCGGCAUAACCCUCAUAAGAAGGUAGGGUCAUGCACAAUGCAAGUAUCAACGAGGAAGUACGGUGGCAAACCAUCAAAGUGGUUACUACCUCAUCAUGAUUCCGUUGCAACAACAAUAUGGUGCUAUAUGACAUGCAUAAAAAGGGUUUCAUAGACAUGGUCAAAGGGCUGCUUGCCUGGUUCCUCAGAGUCUUCAAGUCUUCUGGUCCUUCUCCAAGUACUCCAUCUACUUCGUCAACUAACGCCGGAAACAAUCAUAAUAAGCAACACAACAAGGCAAAAAUAAAAGUGCUCUAAAAAUGUGAGUUGGACUUUUCUAGGAUACCUUUGGUCAUACGAGGGAUGACCAAAGUGGUUUCAUUGGGAUUUGAUCAAUGGACAUCUCUGAACAUUUCAAUAUGAUGGAGUCAAAGGAUUAAUGGAUUUGCAAGAAGUGUACAGAAACAUUAUUUUCAAAAAUGAGCAGAGGCACCCAUUUGACAAAGCAUGAUUUUANNNNNNNNNNNNNNNNNNNNNNNNNNNNNNNNNNNNNNNNNNNNNNNNNNNNNNNNNNNNNNNNNNNNNNNNNNNNNNNNNNNNNNNNNNNNNNNNNNNNAUGUGUUGCAGCUAUGUAUAGCAACAUGGGUUCGCCAACAUUUGGCGCUGCCAGAAUUUGGUUGGUGGCCAAGAGGGCUUUUAUUUCCUCCAGCCCAACCGUAGCCGCAUCCGUGCACUCGAAGUGUUCGAUGCAUCAAAGAAGGCGAUAAAGAGGUAGCGCCUUUUCUCCUAAUCGGGAGAUAAAGCGGCUUAUGGCGGCCAUGCAUCCAGUUAAUUUCUGGAUUUGCUUGAGGUCUGUUGGGGUAGCCAACUGUGACAGAGCUCGGAUUUUAGCCGGAUUUGCUUCGAUUCCUCUAUUGGAGACAAUAAAGCCCAAGAGUUUUCCGGCUGGUACGCCGAAAAUGCAUUUUUCCGGGUUGAGCUUGAUGUCGUAUGUUCGGAGAUUGUCGACCGUAAGCCUCAAGUCGUCUAUUAAUGAUUCAUGUGUCUGGUUUUAAUGAUCACAUUGUCUACGUAAGCCUCCACUAUUUUGCCGAUUUGUGUUUCCAGGCAUGUCUGAAUCAUGCGUUGAUAGGUUGCACUGGCAUGGUGUUAAAACAGAAGGGACCGUAUGGGGUGAUAAAUGCCGUUGCGUCUUGAUCGGAUUCUACCAUCUUGAUUUGGUUGUAUCCGGAGUAUGUGUCGAGGAAACACAAUGAGUGAUGUCCCGCGGUAGCGUCAAUAAUUUGAUCGAUGCGAGGGAGUGGGAAGGGAUCCUUUGGGCAAGCCUUUUUAAGGUCUUUGAAAUCGACGCAUAGGCGCCAGGAUUUGUCCUUCUUUGGUACCAUCACCAGGUUUGCUAGCCAGUCCGGAAGUUUUAUCUCCCUGAUGAAUCCGGCUACAAGUAGCUGGGCUAGCUCCUCUCCCAUGGCUUGUCGCUUGGGUUCUGAGAAGCGUCGAAGAGUCUAUUUGACAGGCUUGUAUCCCUUUAGUAUGUUUAGACUAUGUUCGGCUAGCCUGCGUGGGAUACCUGGCAUGUCUGAAGGAUGCCAGGAGAAAAUGUCCCAAUUCUCGCGCAAGAACUCUCGUAGUGCGGCGUCUAUUGUGGGGUUCAGUUGUGCCCCAAUUGAUGAAGUUUUUGUAGGGUCCGUUGGGUGGACCUGGAAUUGAAGGAGGUGGAUUUGGGUCGUUUGUUGAGUUUCACGUUGUCCCGCGGUUAACUCUUCUGUCGCGAGGGCUUCGGAUAAUGCCUCCAGGGCUAGUGCGAUAGUUUUAUUUUCGGCAUGGAGUGCUAUGUCCGUAUCACUGGCCAGAGUGAUGACCCCAUUGGGGCCCGGCAUCUUGAGUUUCAUGUACCCGCAAUGGGGUAUAGCUUGGAAGCUUGUGAAUGCGUCUCGCCCCAAAAGGGCGUGGUGUCCACUGCUAAACGUGGCCACUUGGAAUGUGAUUUCUUCGGACCUAUAUUUCUCCGGUGUGCCGAAUACUACAUCCAGUGUGAUUUUCCAUGUGCAUCGUGCCUCCCGACUAGGGAUGAUUCCCCUAAAGGUCGUGCUGCUUUGCUCAAUGCGGCUCUUGUCUAUUUCCAUCUUGUUAAAAGUUUUCUCAUAGAUGAGGUUUAAUCCGUUACCACCGUCCAUCAGCACUUUAGUAAGCCGGAAUCCAUCAACUAUUGGACUAAGAACCAAAGUGGUUGGUGCUCGGACUGUUUGGAAUUGAGGUUCGUCACUGGCAUUGAAGGUUAUGGCCGUAUCGUUCCACGAGUUUAAUGCUGCAACGUGGCAAACUUCGGCAAGGCUGCGGAGUGCUUGCUUGCGCCUGUUGUUUGAGGUGAAAGUCUCGAAGACGGUUAGUACUGUAUUGUUGUUUUCUGCGGGAUGGUGCUCUGCUGUAUUGUCGAUGAGAAGGUCCUCACCGCUCUUGGCCACUUGCCGUAGUAUCCAACAUGCUCUAAGGCUGUGUGUUGGUAUGGUGUCCGAUGUGCUGUGAAUUUUGCACGGCCUAUUGAGCCAUCCCUCCAGUACGGUUCCAUGCCCUGCAGAGGGCUUUGGCUUCUUUGCAAUUCUAUUGGGUAAUUUGCGGAAGCACAUCCUUUUAGUUCGGACGAGGGGUUUGUUUAGGGNNNNNNNNNNNNNNNNNNNNNNNNNNNNNNNNNNNNNNNNNNNNNNNNNNNNNNNNNNNNNNNNNNNNNNNNNNNNNNNNNNNNNNNNNNNNNNNNNNNNGUGUCGUAGAGUCAUGUUGUGAUGCUUCGUUGUAUUUGCACAUAUCGAGCAUAUUGUGUGUAUGAUUGAAAUGCUUGGUAUGUGUGGGAUCUGACUAUCUAGUUGUUUAUCUUUAGUAGCCUCUCUUACCGGGAAAUGUCUCCUAGUGUUACCGCUGAGCCAUGGUAGCUUGCUACUGCUCUGGAACACUUAGGCUGGCCGGCAUGUGUCCUUCUUCGUUCCUGUGUCUGUCCCUUCGGGGAAAUGUCACGCUUUGAGUACCGGAGUCCUGUUAGCCCGCUACAGCCCGGUUUACCGGAGUCCUGCUAGCCCAGUGUUACAGCCCGGACCCAUUUGCUGAUGACCGACACGUUCGGAGCUGGGUCAUGGAUGCCUGUCCCUGUAAGUCUGUGCCACUUUGGGUUUACGACUAGUCAUGUCAGCCCGGGCUCCUUAUCAUAUGGAUGCUAGCGACACUAUCAUAUACGUGAGCCAAAAGGCGCAAACGGUCCCGGGCAAAGGUAAGGCGACACUCGUGGGAAUACCGUGCGUGAGGCCGCAAAGUGAUAUGAGGUGUUACCGGCUAGAUCAAUGUGACAUCGAGUCGGGGUCCUGACAGCGUUGGCAUCAGAGCCGGAUUGCCUGUAGGUUCUCCAAGCCAAACUGGUCGAUGUUGAGUCUAGAAAUUCUUUAGUUAUAUGUAGGGGAAUUGUUUGUGGGUUGGAACGUAAGGCUCUUUUACUCCUUUAUCUUAUGACUUUCUGAUCUGAGUCAGUCCAUUCUUCCACCGGGGGUUAAGGAAUUAGGAUCUGUUCUCUCUAUCAGGAUCACGAGUUACUAAUCAGUAGUACCUUAUAAGUUUGAUGGUUACAAGCCUAGUUCAGUUCUACUACCACAUUAUGUUGCUAGAAUGGUUUCAGAACUUUGAUAUGAUGAUGUUGAGUGUGUACGAAAUCCUUUGUCAAAUGUCUCAAAAUCCUUUUUGAGCAUUUACAGCCGUUAUGCUGCCGAAAUUUUGCUAGAAGUUCUAAUGCCUUUGCAUUAUGAUUGUGCUUUCAGAUGGCCACUCGCGACCUCAAUCAAGUGGUUCGCCUGACUCGAUGCCUAGAUGUACCCGGCCAUACUGCCAAGUUGGUCAGGGUAAUGACUGAGGCUGGAUACCGCUGGUAUCCCGAGUACACGGUCGAAGAGCAAUUCCGAGAUUUUAAUCAAAGCCAGUAUCUCUGCACUGUCAGGAUAUUUCCAUCUUAUCCUGGAUCCACCGAGCCUCUUCACUGCUCCUAUGGACUCGGGGUUACUAUUGAGAUGGCUGUGCAGGACGCCGCCUACUCUAUGAUGACCAUUAUGCGAGUCAGAUCUGGUUUAUUUCGGGACUCUGAUUUCUGGUAUAUGCCAGGAUCACUUCCGGGAGCACAAGGGUAUCUCCAGGCUAUUUAUGCUGACCCCACUCAGGAGGAUUCACGGACUCGCACCACUGCUGAGAUGCUCGAGGAUAAGGACCGUGAAAAUCGGGCCUUGAGGUUAGAGCUCUUCAAUACCCAUGCUGACCACUGGGCCACUUUGACUCGGUUCGCACCGGCGGUGCAAGCUGGAUAUUCAGAUAUGCGCAAUCUCUAUCCUGUGAGAUCUGCUCUGCCGGACGUGAUGGUUUGGCGUGAUGUAGGAGGCAUCACCCCACCUCGCGGUCCCCGCAGGCCACCGUCUGUUGGUCCAAGGCCUCAUCCUAGCCCCUAUGGUCCACAAGCUCCGCGAGACCGUCUGUUUCCGGAUGAUCAUGUUGAGCUUCCAGGCUAUGGAGGUGACUUCUACGAGGACUACUACGGAUCGGUCUGAGUUAGUGGUAGUAUCACUAGUUCGCACUAGCUGUGUCUUCUAUCGUUCCGCGUGACUCGUGGGAUAUGACCUAGUUUGUACUCUUUCCGGAGGUGUAGAGAAAUAAUGUAUAGGAGCUUGGGAUGCCUCCGAUGAGAUGUAAUCCUCUUUUCACCGUAUUAGUACUUUGUUUGGUUUUGUACUAAACCCUGUAUGGUGUGUAUGACGAUGGAAUAAAAGAAGCAGUUUNNNNNNNNNNNNNNNNNNNNNNNNNNNNNNNNNNNNNNNNNNNNNNNNNNNNNNNNNNNNNNNNNNNNNNNNNNNNNNNNNNNNNNNNNNNNNNNNNNNNCUGUCUGAAAUGUCUUCAAGAACUUGUAAAAGUAAACAGAGGGAGUAGCAAAUUUGGCUAAGAGGUAGUUAUGUAAUAUGGAGUAGUUUCUUCGAGGAGCCUCCUGGAGAACUUAUCCCUCUUUUACUCGGCGAUGUAACUCUUAUAGUAACACCGUAAUAAAGUGGGGUGAUAUGUCUCAGAAAAAAUGUGGCAUUAUUUUUUAUUAUUUUUUUAAUUUUUUUUGUGGGUGAACAUUAUGUGGCAUUCGAUCAAAGGCGUGGCGCGCAGACCGUCGAAAAACCGUCCGUUGCCUAGCUAGUGACGGACGGCAACUGCAAAGCUGCCGUUGUCGCUGUCGUUCGGGCAGCAGCACUAGCUAGCUAGCUUUGGCCAAGUUGGAGCUGAGCGUCACAUGUCCAUGGAAGGUACGUGGAGCUGGAUCGGUGUGGACUGGAAUUGUUGGUCCCGGGCGUGGAGCUUUUGCACGAGUAUUCAAAAAUCUUUUCCAUCCGUGUGUUGUCGACUCGGCACUCAAUCGAAUGAAAAGGACGGGACGGAACCAGCUGGGCUGGCUGCCCUUUCUUUCCAUUCGAUGGGAUGUGUGCUAUAAAAGAGGACACGGAAGAGAUCCAACACAGAGGGAAUAUUUGGAUGAAUUUCUUAGAAAGAAAGACCCCGUAAUGGGAAGGUGCGGCAAGACCAAUUAACUAAAGUCAAAGAUUUCUUGAUAAAAAAUUACAUGCAAAGACCACAUAAUGGGAAGGUACGCAUGGAUCGGCUACAACACACAUGCAGCGUGCAUAUGCCCUACGCAUAGCGGUUUUUUUUUAUCAUAUGUAUGUUUUUUUACCAAUUCUAAAACAAAUUAAGUGAUACUAAUUAUUCGAUUGAUUAUUUUAAAACAACACCCAAACUUUUUACUAAUUCUAAAAUAAUUACAGAUGAGUGAUACUAAUUAUUCAUAUGAUUAUUUUAAAACAACACCCAAACGAAUUCUACAAAAAAAAUAAAAAAUCGACCGGCUGAGAUUUACUACUCAUUUAAAUCACUAGUAGAAAAAGGGUCAAACGUGAAGCACAUUAGUGCCGGUUUGUAUUUGAGCCGGCACAAAUGUAUACAUUAGUGCCGGUUCCAACGGCUAGCCGGGCCGCUGUCAUUAGUACCGGUUCGUGGCUAACCUUUAGCACCGGUUCGUGCCACGAACCGGUACUAAUGAGAGUGGUGGCAGGAUGUUGUCAGUCUGGGCCCCCUCCAGCACCUUUAGUACCGGUUCUUGGCACGAACCGGUACUAAAGGUCGUCCUACAUAAACCCUUCGUCCACCCGAGCUCGCUGUUCUUCCCCUUUCCCCUCUCCUCUUUGUUCUUCCCCUCUUCCUCUCGAGCUCAUCACACAUUUUGCCCAAAAUUUGUCAAGAUUUGAAGGCCCCCAUCCAUUCAAAUGAUCACAAAGGUUAGCAACUUUGUCCUUUCAUCUCUCAUUGCUAUAUUAGCUCUUGCAAUGCUUUAUAUAGUUAUUAAUUUGUGAGUUUAGUAAUUUGGGAGGAAAUAUAUAUAUAUAUAUGUGCUAGUAUUUGAUUUAUAUGCAAUUUGAGGUUAAAAUAACACUUAGUUUGCAUAUGUAGGUGUGGUUUACUUAGUGUCUUCUAAAUCUCCGUCGUAACCACCGUCGAUCGUCCGCACCGUCCCGUCGCCGGCACCACCUUGUGGUGAGCCUCUUGUUCAUGAAAUUUUAUAUAAAAAAUUGAUGUUUGUGUGAUUUGGAUAUAUAGUUACUCGUAUAAUAAUUAUCUUACCCGUACGUUGUUUGUUAUACAUAGUGCCAUGGUUUUGAUAUCCGUCCCCGUCGGCCCUCGUCCUUGUUAUGAUUCGGAUGUGGUAUAUUCUCUUUUAAAACUAUUUGUUGCAUUUCGUGUUUAUGACAAAUUAUGCCCAUCAAGUUGACAUAGAUAUUUUUAUCUAGGAGGUAUGUGAACCGGAAAUUCCAACCGACCCUAUUGUCGAGAGGUUAAAUUUAGUUGAAAGAGAAAACGAGUACUUGAAAGAAAAAUUGAAAAGAANNNNNNNNNNNNNNNNNNNNNNNNNNNNNNNNNNNNNNNNNNNNNNNNNNNNNNNNNNNNNNNNNNNNNNNNNNNNNNNNNNNNNNNNNNNNNNNNNNNNUGGAGAGCCAACACCCGAGCCGCAGCAUCACAAUACUCGUCGAAGAUCAUCGCGCACAGGAGCACAGAGAGCCCCAGCAGCGUCGCCAGCCCUCCGCAUAUCAGGAUCACAAACCAGUCCGGCAUCGCCUCCGCCAUUAGAGCCUCGACCGAGCUUCUGUAAGCAGUAAUGGAGAAAGGAGGAGGAGAAGUGAGGCCAGAUGUGAGGAAGAAGAGAGAGGCACCCCGGCCGUUUUUAUAGCUCGAGCUUGGUGUACGGUGGGCGAAGUCCACCAACGCCGCUCGUCGCCGAUCGCCAGUGUUCGGAGUCGAAUCCGCGAGCAGUGCCGACAGCGCGCUGGCCCGCGAGGUGAGUGCACGCUGCACCGGCAGCUAGCACGCCGCGCACUACCAUGGUACGGCCUAGAUGCCCUACGCAUUAGGCAUCGCCGGUGGAGAAAGCGAGAGAAAGCGCGCGGGAGAGAGGAGGAAGAGAGAGCCAGAGGUAGAAGGAAGAGCCAGUGGGAGAAGAAGAGGCUGACAGUGGGCCCCGGGUCCACCUGUUGGCCAGAGAGAGCACUGUGCUCUCGGGUACGACCAGCGUAUAUUUAAAUUUAGAAGAUUAUUCUAAAUUUUUUUUAUCCAGCGUAGAAAUCACCCGGUUUUGUCUCGAACCGUAGACUUUUCCGCGCAGCACCAGUAUUCACACGGUUGUUUUUCACCACUUAUUGCCCUCGCACUGUAGCUACAUCUUUAUUGCGUAAGUAUUCUCUUAACACCGCUUUUAGCAAAUCUCGAGGACGAGAUUUUUCUUAAGGGGGAUAGUAUUGUGACACCCCAAAAAAAUUUGGCCUUGUUUUAUUAAAUUAAAUUUUUUGCCAGGAUUUAAAACUUUGGAUUUCUGAGCUCCAUUUUGAUUUUUUUUAAAAUCAUUUCCUUCCCUGUUAUGAUGAGUUUUUCCCAAAGAGAAAACUUUUCAAAUUUGUAUUGGACUUAUUUAACCUCUCAAGAAAAACUUUCCUUUUAUCAGUAUAACUAAUUAAAUAAAUAAGUUGCUUGCUCUUUAUUUUCUUGAAAAAGGUUUUUUAGGUUAAAUGGCCAUAUUUGAACUACAACCAUUUGAUGGACUCACCUAAAAUUUCCACAAAAAUUUGGAGAUGUCAUGUGAUGAUUUUAAAUAACUUUUAUGCAAAAAUAUAUUUCAUUCAUGAAAUAUUUUGAGCCCUACUCUCAAUUUUUCUUCUCUGGUCCAGAGUGCAUUUUUUCACAGCAACCUAUUUAAAUAUUUCUUUAAAACUUCUACCAAAAUUAAGGGAGGUCAGUAGGAGCAUAUUAUUUCACUUUGUGCAAAAACCUAAUUAUGUUCUUUGAAAAAAUUGAGUGAAUCAACCUCAUUUCCAUUCUGGACCAACUUGAGGAUUUGUACAGCAACCACCAUUUUAGUUGCUCCUAUACCCUUAAUUAUUUCUCCUACUUGUGGUCCCCCAUGUUAAACCCUUAAGUCCAAGAGCAUGCACCUUUUGGAUCAUUUUUGGUUCAUGAAAUAAUGCUAUUUAUUUCCUGUCCAGAAAUGUGGUUUUGUAAAACUUGCACUAGCAAGUUUCCCCUUUUGUCCAACUAACCUCACCACUCUCUUUUGCAUCUAAAGAGACCCCCAUCUGGAGUUUUUGGCCACCCCAAGACCUGCCUAAGUGCAUGUGGCAUUUUUCCAAACACCUGGAGAGCAUGACCAGUUCUGGCAUGAUUGUGGCAUUGCACUGUGGACUUGCACCUAUGAUCAAACCAGCAUGUCCACUAGACUCCCCGUUGCUCCUAACCUCGAUCUGGUAAAUCCCAUCCUCACCUGCGACCUGUAGCAUGCCUCGGCAUUGUGUCGAACACCUGGUGUGCGUGCACUGGACGCGCCCAGAGCGCGCGUAAUGCAGCCGCGCGCCCGAGCCGACACGCCGGCCCCACGGCUUUGGCUCGCUCUGCAGCACCACGCCACGCGCUCCCCUCCUCGCAGCAACGCGCCAAGCAGCCCCCGCCGCGCCCGGCAGGCCAAGAGCUAGCCGCCGCCGCCNNNNNNNNNNNNNNNNNNNNNNNNNNNNNNNNNNNNNNNNNNNNNNNNNNNNNNNNNNNNNNNNNNNNNNNNNNNNNNNNNNNNNNNNNNNNNNNNNNNNUGAUUUUAUCGCACUCCGAAUAUUUAAUAAUAUUCACGUCACAUCGUUACCGCAGAACGUCUACUACUAUGUCAUCGCCGUCCGUGAUGGGGGCCACACCCCGGAGACGCGUGCCGCCUCUUCGGACAUGCCACCACACCAUACGGCAUGUAUGAGGGGCCGGUGCGAUGCUCCAGUGGCAUUGCGACCCCCCAGGGCCCCGUCCCGCCUAACCCUGUAGCGUUUGACCACGGGAUCUAGCCCUUUGACUUUGCACGGACGGGCUUUGACCAGUGGAACUCUCCACCCGGUUGUGUUAGGUCAGCCCAUAGGAACACUUUGGAGCAACAUCCGGGCCAAAGCCACAGCAAGACCCCAUCCGUGUAGACCCGACGCGUCCGUUUCCCCCCUCCAGGUGUCGGCGGCGGCGCCGUCCGUGAGGGGGGCACACCCCGGAGAUGCGGGCCGGGCGUUUGCAGCCGCCACAGCACUUCCAGACUUGUGAGAGACCGCCUACGCAAGAUUUGGCGGCAUGUGCUAGCCCCCGGAGGCCGCCGGCCACAGUCGUAGACACGCGAAGAGCAAUCCGCGGAGAGGGAAGUUUAUCAGAUACUUCUCCAUCACCAAAAAUUAUGAAAAAUUACCAUCAGUCCUAUAGCACAUGUGCCCACGUCGUGUAAAAAACUCAUGAUUUUAUCGUGCUCCGAGUACUUAAUAAUAUUCACGCCGCAUCGUUACUGCAGAACGUCUACUACUGUGUCAUCGCCGUCCGUGAGGGGGGCCACACCCCGGAGACGCGUGACGCCUCUUCGGACAUGCCACCACACCGUACGACGUGUAUGAGGGCCCGGUGCAAUGCUCCAGUGGCAUUGCUACCCCCUCCCCAGGGCCCCGUCCCGCCUAACCCUGUAGCGGUAUACCACGGGAUCUAGCCCUUUGACUUUGCACGGACGGGCUUUGACCAGUGUAACUCUCCACCCGGUUGUGUUAGGUCAGCCCAUAGGAACACCUUGGAGCAACAUCCGGGCCAAAGCCACAGCAAGACCCCAUACGUGUAGACCCGAUGCGUCCAUUUCCCCCCUCCAGGUGCCGGCGGCGGCGCCGUCCGUGAGGGGGGCACACCCCGGAGACGCGUGUCGGGCGUUUGCAACCACCACAACACUUCCAGACUUGUGAGAGGCCGUCUAUGCAAGAUUUGGCGGCAUGUGCUAGCCCCCGGAGGCCGCCGGCAACAGUCGUAGACACGAGAAGAGCAAUCUGCGGAGAGGGAAGUUUAUCAGAUACCUCUCCAUCACCAAAAAUUAUGAAAAAUUACCAUCAGUCCUAUAGCACAUGUGCCAACGUCGUGUAAAAAACUCAUGAUUUUAUCGCGCUCCGAGUAUUUAAUAAUAUUCACGCCGCAUCGUUACCGCAGAACGUCUACUACUGUGUCAUCACCGUCCGUGAGGGUGGCCACACCCCGGAGACGCGUGCCGCCUCUUCGGACAUGCCACCACAACCUACGGCAUGUUUGAGGGCCCGGUGCGGUGCUCCGGUGGCAUUGCUAUCCCCCCCCCAAGGGCCCCCGUCCCGCCUAACCCUGUGACCACGGGAUCUAGCCCUUUUACUUUGCACGGACGGCCUUUGACCAGUGGAACUCUCCACCCGGUUGUAUUAGGUCAGCCCAUAGGAACACUUUGGAGCAACAUCCGGGCCAAAGCCACAGCAAGACCCCAUCCGUGUAGACCCGACGCGUCCGUUUCCCCCCUCCAGGUGCCAGCGGCGGCGCCGUCCGUGAGGGGGGCACACCCCGGAGACGCGUGUCGGGCGUUUGCAACCACCACAACACUCCCAGACUUGUGAGAGGUCGUCUAUGCAAGAUUUGGCGGCAUGUGCUAGCCCCCGGAGGCCGCCGGCCACAGUCGUAGACACGUGAAGAGCAAUCCACGGAGAGGGAAGUUUAUCAGAUACUUCUCCAUCACCAAAAAUUAUGACAAAUUACCAUCAGUCCUAUAGCACAUGUGCCCACGUCGUGUAAAAAACUCAUGAUUUUAUCGCGCUCCGAGUAUUUAAUAAUAUUCANNNNNNNNNNNNNNNNNNNNNNNNNNNNNNNNNNNNNNNNNNNNNNNNNNNNNNNNNNNNNNNNNNNNNNNNNNNNNNNNNNNNNNNNNNNNNNNNNNNNGUUAGUAAUAGUCCACGAAGUAGGUCAGAAUUGAACAAAACUAUAAGUGUUGACGAUGGUCACAUAAACGCACCCUAGAGUUCAUCAAUCGUGGAAAUCGCUCUGGGUCCCCAAAAGGUUGAGUAAUAGUGCACGAAACGGACUAGAAUCGGCGGAAUAUGUGAGUGUUGAUGACCGACGCGUAAACGGACCCCGGGGUUCGUCAAUAGUGGAAACAACGCCGAGACCCCAAAAUAGAGUAAUAGUCCAAGAAACGGGCCAGAAUCGGCCCAAACUGUGAUUGUUGAUGACCGACAUGUAAGCGCAUCUUGGAGUUCGACAAUGAUGGAAAUCGCUUUGGGACCCCAAAACGGUGAGUAAUAGUCCAUGAAACGGCCCAGAAUCGGCCAAAACUGAGAGUGUUGAUGACCAACUCGUAAGCACACCUUGGGGUUCAACAACUAUGAAAAUCGCUUUGGGGCCCCCAAAACGGUGAGUAAUAGUCCACGAAACAGGUCAGAUUUGGCCAAAACUGUGAGUGUUGACGAGGGACACAUAAACGCACCCCGGGGUUCAUCAAUCAUGGAAAUCGCUCUGGGUCCCCAAAACGCUGAGUAAUAGUGCACGGAACGUAUUAGAAUCGGCCGAAUAUGUGAGUGUUGAUGACCGACACGUAAACACACCCCGGGGAUCGUCAAUCGUGGAAAUGACUCCGAGACCCCAAAAUAGAGUAAUAGUCCAGGAAACGGGCCAGAAUCGACCCAAACUGUGAUUGUUGAUGACUGACACGUAAGUGCACCUUGGAGUUUGACAACCAUGGAAAUCGCUUUGGGACCCGAAAACGGUGAGUAAUAGUCCAUGAAACGGGCCAGAAUCGGCCAAAACUGCGAGUGUUGUUGACCAACACGUAAGCACAUCUUGGGGUUCAACAACUAUGGAAAUCGCUACGGGACCCCAAAACGCUGAGUAAUAGUGCACGGAACGGACUUGAAUCGGCCGAAUAUGUGAGUGUUGAUGACCGACACGUAAACGCACCCCGGGGUUACUCAAUCAUAGAAAUGACUCCGAGACCCCAAAAUAGAGUAAUAGUCCAAGAAACAGGCCAGAAUCGGCCCAAACUAUGGUUGUUGAUAACCGACACGUAAGCGCACCUUGGAGUUCGACAACCAUGGAAAUCGCUUUGGGACCCCAAAACGGUGAGUUAUAGUCCAUGAAACGGGCCAGAAUCGGCCAAAACUGCGAGUGUUGAUGACCAACGCGUAAGCACACCUUGGGGUUCAACAACUAUGGAAAUCUCUCUGGGACCCCAAAACGGUUAGUAAUAGUCCACGAAGUAGGUCAGAAUUGAACAAAACUAUAAGUGUUGACGAUGGUCACAUAAACGCACCCUAGAGUUCAUCAAUCGUGGAAAUCGCUCUGGGUCCCCAAAAUGCUGAGUAAUAGUGCACGAAACGGACUAGAAUCGGCGGAAUAUGUGAGUGUUGAUGACCGACGCGUAAACGGACCCCGGGGUUCGUCAAUAGUGGAAACAACUCCGAGACCCCAAAAUAGAGUAAUAGUCCAAGAAACGGGCCAGAAUCGGCCCAAACUAUGAUUGUUGAUGACCGACACGUAAGCGCAUCUUGGAGUUCGACAAUGAUGGAAAUCGCUUUGGGACCCCAAAACGGUGAGUAAUAGUCCAUGAAACGGGCCAGAAUCGGCCAAAACUGAGAGUGUUGAUGACCAACUCGUAAGCACACCUUGGGGUUCAACAACUAUGAAAAUCGCUUCGGGGCCCCCAAAACAGUGAGUAAUAGUCCACGAAACAGGUCAGAUUUGGCCAAAACUGUGAGUGUUGACGAGGGACACAUAAACGCACCCCGGGGUUCAUCAAUCAUGGAAAUCGCUCUGGGUCCCCAAAACGCUGAGUAAUAGUGCACGGAACGUAUUAGAAUCGGCCGAAUAUGUGAGUGUUGAUGACCGACACGUAAACACACCCCGGGGAUCGUCAAUCGUGGAAAUGACUCCGAGACCCCAAAAUAGAGUAAUAGUCCAAGAAACGGGCCAGAAUCGACCCAAACUNNNNNNNNNNNNNNNNNNNNNNNNNNNNNNNNNNNNNNNNNNNNNNNNNNNNNNNNNNNNNNNNNNNNNNNNNNNNNNNNNNNNNNNNNNNNNNNNNNNNUUUUUUUUGCGAAAAAUCACUAUAAUGGCGAGUGUCUCAAAACUCUUCCUAGGUCAAACUGACAGGAUGGGCACGAAAUUUUUUUUUCGACCAAAUUUUUUUUUCGACUGCCCGGACCCAAAAACUGGAAACGGGUCAAAAAAAACUUCCUAUAAUGGCACCUGUCUCAAAACACUCAGAAACACCUAAAAAUAGGAUAGCCAGAAUUUUUUUCGAAAAAUGCGUUUUCGAAAAAUUUUGGGCCUAAACGGAGCGUGGUUUCCCGACUCACGAGGGUCUGACCACGAUCAACCUGACCACGAGGGUCUGUUUCCUGCGAGCAAACAAAGAACAAGCAAGAAACUGAGAUUGCAAUCUGGAUAUUGCGAAUAUAAGAUGAAAGCUUUAUUGAUCAAGGUGGGGUUCUGUGACGCCUUUGUCUGGUCGUUGAACACAAACGAAGUACGCGAAGUUGCAGCUAUGGCGAACUUUUAAUCUAAACAAAACCCAAAGUCUAAACGAUGCCCUAAGGGCUGUAUAUAUGGAGGAAGAGGGGGGAAUUUAGUCGCCCUUGGUGGAGGGGUCCGAAAUCAACCCUAUCUCUUGUUUCCCCACACAUACGGACUCUAAAAAUAGCCUAUACUUAUGUAUUUCGAAAUUACAUGGGCCUGGCCCAAUAAUAAGGUGACGCAGCACCUAUAAUAACAUCGGGACGAAAUUUAUGAAGUGGCAUCUUGUAUAUUUCGUCCAAGGCUUCAUGCGCCCAUUAUGGUGGCUUCAAAGUCCUGAAAUCAUCACUUGUAACUCCGUUCUUGUUCCCCUUGCGCAUGCCAUCAUCUCCAUGCUUGUUCUUGCUCCAAUGUUCAUCCUUCUCCAAGCUAGGCCCUUUAUUUGUAAGCAAAACAAAUGUAUCCAAUUUAGGCAGCAUCAUAUUCUCAUGAACAUUAGAAUCAUUACCAAGAAACGAAAGUACCUGGUAAUUUAGUUGGCGUGCGCGAGCUCUAGUAAUUGGUCCAGUAUGUAUAGCAGCUGGGCCUGUGGGUGUAACAAUUGUAUUGAUGUCCUCAUCAAAAGGGGAGGAUGAUGAGGACAUGACUACCUUGGAUACGACCAAAAAUAUUGGAUACAUGCAUAUUUGUCAGGUGAUUUCUAAUGCAAACUAUUCAAUAGUCUAUUUAUGUUAUCCAGAACAAAAAUACUUCACACACUUUUGUGUUUUGUCUAAUUGCAGGUGUAUGGGACAUUUGUACAAGAUAAGGGAAAAGGAGAUGUUUAGGUUGUGUUCAAAAAGUCCUCUCACGUCACUUUUGGGCCAAGAGAAGAUAGAGUCCAAGUCUCUCACGUUCUGGAUUCAGAUUCGGACUGCACAGACAUACCUGACUCAAAACACCAACAACUUUUUAUACGGACUCCGAAUUGGGUGAUUCUUUUUUUGUUGGAAACUAGAUUUCGUGCCCUUUCCAACCCAAUUGAAUUCACCUUCAAAUUCGUCCGGAGCGUUGAGUUACAGACGAAACAAUCUGACAUUGCAGCAGAAUCCGAGUCAAACUACAAGCCCAAAGGUGUUGCAUCACCUCCACUUGGGCCCAUGAGCCUUGUACGACCUAGGGUUAGUUUUAGGCUGCCUUGGGACGUCCUCCCACCUCCUUGGCCGCCACCCCUUGCUCCUAUAUAAGUAGAUCCAUCUAGUAGCUUUUUCCUUGGGAUUUGUUUAGUUAAAAGUUAGCCAUUGCAACUUCGUGUACUUCGUUUGUGUCCAAUGACCAGACCAAGACCGCUUCCGGAUCGCCACCAUUAUCAAUACUUCAUAUAUAUUUGCGAUAUUCAGAUUGCUUUAUCGUAUUCUUGCUCGUUCUUCGAUUGCUUGCAGGAAUAGACCUUCGUGGUCAGGCUGACCGUGCUUCCAGCAUCGUCAGUAACCUCAGGAGAUUGGUUUAGCGGUUGCUAAGGCGCAACGUCGUGCACGUUUGUAGUCGGAUCGUCAAAGUCGUCUCCACCAAAUCGAUAGUUAUCAUCUCAUCGAAAGAUCGGGACCCUCGCCUCUAUCAGCGUUAGUAACAANNNNNNNNNNNNNNNNNNNNNNNNNNNNNNNNNNNNNNNNNNNNNNNNNNNNNNNNNNNNNNNNNNNNNNNNNNNNNNNNNNNNNNNNNNNNNNNNNNNNCACUGUUUUGGGGUCCCGGAGUGAUUUCCACGAUUAACGAACCCCGGCGUGCGUUUACGUGUCGGUCAUCAACACUCACAGUUUUGGCCGAUUCUGGCCCGUUUCGUGGACUAUUGCUCACUUUUUUGGGGCCCCGGAGUGAUUUCCAUGAUUAAGGAACCCUUGGGUGCGCUUACGGGUUGGUUAUCAACACUCGCGGUUUUUGUCGAUUCUGACCCGUUUCGUGGACUGUUACUCACCGUUUUGGGGCCCCAAAGCGAUUUCCAUGGUUGUUGAACCCCAAGGUGCGCUUAAGUGUAAGUCAUCAACAAUCGCAGUUUGGGCCGAUUCUGGCCCGUUUCUUGGACUAUUACUUAGUUAUGGGGUCCCGAAAUGAUCCCGGGUUGUGUUUACGUGUCGGUCAGCAACACUCACAAUUUUGGCCAAUUCUAACGUGUUUUGUGGACUAUUACUCACUGUUUUUAGGUCCCGAAGUGAUUUCCAUAGUUGUUGAACCCCAAGGCGCGCUUACCUGUCGGUCAUCAAUACUCAUAGUUUUGGCUGUUUCUGGCCCGUAUCAUGGACUAUUACUCUCUUUUUUGGGCCCCCGGAGUGAUUUCCACGAUUAACGAACCACGGGGUGCAUUUACGUGUCGGUCAUCCACACUCACAGUUUUGGCCGAUUCUGGCCCGUUUCUUGGACUAUUACUCUGUUUUUGGGUCUCGGCGUGAUUUCCAUGAUUGACGAACACCGGGGUGCAUUUAUGUGUCGCUCAUCAACACUCGCAGUUUUGGCCGAUUCUGGCCCGUUUCGUGGAGUAUUACGCACUGUUUUGGGGUAUCGAAGUGAUUUCAACGAUUAACGAACCGCGGGGUGCGUUUACGUUUCGGUCAUCAACACUUACACUUUUGUCCAAUUCUUGCCUUUUGUGUAUACUAUUACUCACUGUUUUGGGGUCCCGGAGUGAUUUCCACGAUUAACGAACCCCGGCGUGCGUUUACGUGUCGGUCAUCAACACUCACAGUUUUGGCCGAUUCUGGCCCGUUUCGUGGACUAUUGCUCACUUUUUUGGGGCCCCGAAGUGAUUUCCACGAUUAAGGAACCCUUGGGUGCGCUUACGGGUUGGUUAUCAACACUCGCGGUUUUUGUCGAUUCUGACCCGUUUCGUGGACUGUUACUCACCGUUUUGGGGCCCCAAAGCGAUUUCCAUGGUUGUUGAACCCCAAGGUGCGCUUAAGUGUAAGUCGUCGACAAUCGCAGUUUGGGCCGAUUCUGGCCCGUUUCUUGGACUAUUACUUAGUUAUGGGGUCCCGAAAUGACCCCGGCUUGUGCUUACGUGUCGGUCAGCAACACUCACAAUUUUGGCCAAUUCUAACGUGUUUUGUGGACUACUACUCACUGUUUUUAGGUCCCGAAGUGAUUUCCAUAGUUGUUGAACCCCAAGGCGCGCUUACCUGUCGGUCAUCAAUACUCAUAGUUUUGGCUGAUUCUGGCCCGUAUCAUGGACUAUUACUCUCUUUUUUGGGCCCCCGGAGUGAUUUCCACGAUUAACGAACCACGGGGUGCAUUUACGUGUCGGUCAUCCACACUCACAGUUUUGGCCGAUUCUGGCCCGUUUCUUGGACUAUUACUCUGUUUUUGGGUCUCGGCGUGAUUUCCAUGAUUGACGAACACCGGGGUGCAUUUAUGUGUCGCUCAUCAACACUCGCAGUUUUGGCCGAUUCUGGCCCGUUUCGUGGAGUAUUACGCACUGUUUUGUGGUAUCGAAGUGAUUUCAACGAUUAACGAACUGCGGGUGCGUUUACGUUUCGGUCAUCAACACUUACACUUUUGUCCGAUUCUUGCCUUUUUUGUAUACUAUUACUCACUGUUUUGGGGUCCCGGAGUGAUUUCAACGAUUAACGAACCCCGGCGUGCGUUUACGUGUCGGUCAUCAACACUCACAGUUUUGGCCGAUUCUGGCCCGUUUCGUGGACUAUUACUCACUUUUUUGGGGCCCCGGAGUGAUUUCCACGAUUAACGAACCCCUGGGUGCGCUUACGGGUUGGUUAUCAACACUCNNNNNNNNNNNNNNNNNNNNNNNNNNNNNNNNNNNNNNNNNNNNNNNNNNNNNNNNNNNNNNNNNNNNNNNNNNNNNNNNNNNNNNNNNNNNNNNNNNNNCACAAAUUUUACCACGGCAUGUUGAUGCUGCUCCAUGAUAGCAUGCCAAGUUUCAUGAAUUUCAGACGAGUUUUGGAUUUACUAGAAUUUUAAAAUAAAGUAUCUCUAUGUUUUGGUGGCAAUCAACGGUGCCCUGGUGUUUGAAAUUCAUUCCCAUUUCUUGCAUGGGACCUAAGCAUGCACCCAAGGACACAAAUUUGAUUUAUCAACCAAUUUAUAUGCACUGGAGCAUGUGCAUCUAGUUCAAAUUUGAAUCAUGCACAUAAAUGCAUUGAAAACUCAGUUAAUGCAUAAAAAUGUUCAAACGUACCCUGAAAAAUCACAAAGAUUGACACAACACUCAUGUUGUUCUAUGUCGACACGAGAAAAACUUCGAAAGUAAUAAGAGGCAAUGGAUAUCGUUUCGUCCCCAAAGGUGGGACGUUCCCUACCGAAACCAUCAUGCUUGUUGUGAGAAGGUCUGGUUUGUGAGAAGCAUAUACCCAAACCUGCCCCAAAUGGGACAAAUUUUUUACCACGGCAUGGUGAAGCCGCUCCAUGAUAGCAUGCCAAGUUUCAUGAAUUUCAGACGAGUUUUGGAUUUACUAGAAUUUAACAACCAUGCGUCUCAAUGUUUUGCCGGCACUCAAGAGUGCCUUGGUGUUUGAAAUUCAUUCCCAUUUCUUGCAUGGGACCUAAGCAUGCACCCAAGGACACAAUUUUGAUUUUUCAACCAAUUUAUAUGCACUGGAGCAUGUGCAUGUAGUUCAAAUUUGAAUUAUGCACAUAAAUGCAUUGAAAACUCAGUUAAUGCAUAAAAAUGUCCAAACAAAGCCCAAAAAAUCACAAAAAUUGACACAACACUCCUGUUGUUCUAUGUUGAGACGAGCUUUUUUUUGAAGCAAUAAGAGGCAAUGGAUAUCGUUUCAUCCCCAAAUGUGGGACGUUUCCUACCGAAACCACCAUGCUUGUUCUGAAAAGCUCUGGUUUGUGAGAAGCAUAUACCCAAACCUGCCCCAAAUGGGGCACAAAUUUUACCACGAAAUGUUGAUGCUGGUCCAUGAUAGCAUGCCAAGUUUCAUGAAUUUCAGACGAGUUUUGGAUUUACUAGAAUUUUAAAAUAAAGUAUCUCUAUGUUUUGGUGGCAAUCAACGGUGCCCUGGUGUUUGAAAUUCAUUCCCAUUUCUUGCAUGGGACCUAAGCAUGCACCCAAGGACACAAAUUUGAUUUAUCAACCAAUUUAUAUGCACUGGAGCAUGUGCAUCUAGUUCAAAUUUGAAUCAUGCACAUAAAUGCAUUGAAAACUCAGUUAAUGCAUAAAAAUGUUCAAACGUACCCUGAAAAAUCACAAAGAUUGACACAACACUCAUGUUGUUCUAUGUCGACACGAGAAAAACUUCGAAAGUAAUAAGAGGCAAUGGAUAUCGUUUCGUCCACAAAGGUGGGACGUUCCCUACCGAAACCAUCAUGCUUGUUGUGAGAAGCUCUGGUUUGUGAGAAGCAUAUACCCAAACCUACACCAAAUGGGACAAAAAAUUUACCACGGCAUGGUGAAGUCGCUCCAUGAUAGCAUGCCAAGUUUCAUGAAUUUCAGACGAGUUUUGGAUUUACUAGAAUUUAAAAACCACGCGUCUCAAUGUUUUGCCGGCAAUCAAGAGUGCCUUGGUGUUUGAAAUUCAUUCCCAUUUCUUGCAUGAGACCUAAGCAUGCACCCAAGGACACAAUUUUGAUUUUUCAACCAAUUUAUAUGCACUGGAGCAUGUGCAUGUAGUUCAAAUUUGAAUUAUGCACAUAAAUGCAUUGAAAACUCAGUUAAUGCAUAAAAAUGUCCAAACAAACCCCAAAAAAUCACAAAAAUUGAAACAACACUCCUGUUGUUCUAUGUUGACACGAGCUUUUUUUUGAAGCAAUAAGAGGCAAUGGAUAUCGUUUCAUCCCCAAAUGUGGGACGUUUCCUACCGAAACCACCAUGCUUGUUCUGAAAAGCUCUGGUUUGUGAGAAGCAUAUACCCAAACCUGCCCCAAAUGGGGCACAAAUUUUACCACGGCAUGUUGAUGCUGNNNNNNNNNNNNNNNNNNNNNNNNNNNNNNNNNNNNNNNNNNNNNNNNNNNNNNNNNNNNNNNNNNNNNNNNNNNNNNNNNNNNNNNNNNNNNNNNNNNNUUGAAAUAUUAAGUCCUUAGUUGAAAGGUUGCAAUGAGCAGUUUGCAUUGUCCAUUUGUGCCAUUUUCUGCUUCUAAUUUUGUUGGUUCUUCUAGCAAGCAUAUUCCAUUGAUCCUGAUUGAAUUCCCUUACCAUUUUGUCUAUCUGUGGUUCUUUACUUCGGUGAUGUAAUCAUUUUAAAGUUUGACCUAGAUACUAUAAUUAAUAAACAGUUGUGAAUAGUAUAUAUCGAGAGGACUCCACUAUGCAACCUUUGACAUGCUCAUCACAUACUGUUAUUUAUAGUGAACCUUCUUUACUUGUAUUUACAGGGAAACAAUUGGUACAAUUCUUGCCCGGGGCCACAGCCGUGUACCUGUGUAUUCAGGAAACCCUAGAAAUGUUAUAGGUCUCCUGUUGGUAGGUAAAAAUUAUGCCAUGGAGAAUUACUCGAUGAUCUUUCUUUAUGUACUUUACUAACUUAGAACCAUUUAAAUAUUAUUUAGGUCAAAAGUCUUCUGAUAGUUCGUGCUGAAAUAGAGAUGCCAGUUAGUGUUGUUUCCAUUAGGAGGAUUCCAAGGUAUAUACCCCAAUUCUAUUUAAAUAUAAAUUGGAAAAAUCUCUUUCAAAAUUUGGUACAAUUGCUUGAAUUUUUGGAGUACACGAAUUAUGGGCUAGUGAUGUAGAUGCAGAGCACUAGCACCAAGCUCUGGGUUUUGUUCGGUACACUCUGAGAUGUAGAUGCCUGAAAGAUAAACAUGUUGUUUGUCUACAAAAAAAACUUAAUUACUAUUAUGGGCUAGUGAUGAUCAUAUGCACUAGUUACUAGUAGAUGCUUUUUUAUCCUCAGAUUGGCGUCUAGUGUUCAUAGAAAUAUAUGAUUAUCUUUGUUGUAUAAACUGACUGGCUGCCAAGUUACAACUUACUGGUGAAAGUUCAUUUUUUUUAUCAGUGGCAUAUGAGUGGCAGAAAAGUGGCUAGCCUCGUCUGCAUAUAUGAGCAUAUAGAUCAACAAAAAAUAAACCCAUUCGGCAAGAACAUUUAUGCACCUAUUUACUAGAAGAAUGAAUAAAUGAAUGUCAGGGCUAGAGAUCAUUAUUGUUUGUUAUCCAGGAAAUACAAAAGUUUGGAUUGUUGAAUGCAUUCUGAAUUCUAGCUAUACAAAAGUUUUUUCCUUCUGAAAUGUGUUUUUCUUCUUCUUCCUGUUUUGAGUAGUUUGCGUAAGUUUUCUGAAAUGAUGAUGUAUUUUUCUUAAUUCAGCGAACCGUGAGAUGGACUUAGAAGAAGAAAGUGUCUCCUGAUUGCAGUUGAUUAAUUAGUAUAUAUGUUGUAGACUUGUAGCAUACCUACCUCUAUAUGGUUUUAUAUUUCAACUUGAUUUCUGAAUAUUCCAAACCACACGCGAAGUCCUUUCUUACAAGAAGAAGUUUCUCUUCAUAACAGUGAACAAAACUACUGUCAAUCAGCUCAGUUCUAGUGCUGUUGGAUUUUUUUUAAUUGGCUUCUUGCAGUUUUGAAAAUUCAGUUUAUUCGGUUACUGAAAAUUCAGUUAAUUCAGUUAGGCACACAAAUUUCAGAACUUUUGUGUUCCCUAGUACUUGGUGUUUGUAGAAAACCAGGAGUGUCAAUGGGACUAGAAUUCACUUGUUCUUAUAUGGGUUUGUAAAACUUGUUCAUGUACUGAACUACUAAUGCCUUGUGAUGCUCUGAAUUACUUGUGAUGCCUCUGAAUUACUUGUGAUCACAUUGAGAAAGACUUGUAAAGAUGAUGAUCAUCUUUAACAGAAAACAAUUUGUGAUGAUUUUGCUAGUUUGCUGGGUUUUGUCUCCGACCAUCGUGUCGUGAUGAUUUUGCAGGUACCCCGAGAGGCCCUUGAGUUUGCCGGAAUGUCGAUUAACUUCCGUUCCGGCAAAUUCGGGUACUCCAUAUGUCCUAUUUUCAGCAAAGGUCAUGCUGAAAUUUUCCGUGAAUUUUAGCAUGACUUUGCUAAAAAUAGGACAUAUGGGGUACUUGUGACUAAUGCAUAGGCCGGGGUAUCUUAGUAGUUAAUUAAGUAGGAUNNNNNNNNNNNNNNNNNNNNNNNNNNNNNNNNNNNNNNNNNNNNNNNNNNNNNNNNNNNNNNNNNNNNNNNNNNNNNNNNNNNNNNNNNNNNNNNNNNNNCCCCCUCCUCAUGGAAAGUAGUUACUACUUGAGCUACGGAGGAUGCUCUUUGACCGAUAGCUACAUAAACACAUAUUACACCUUGCCCUUUUUGAUUGAGAAUUGUAUCUGUGGCUACUGCUGUUUUGCCAGUCUGUCUGUCCCCAAUAAUUAACUCUCGCUGACCGCGCCCUAUAGGGAUCAUCGAAUCGAUAGCAAUAAGCCCUGUUUGAAGAGGUUCGUAUACGGAACGCCUGGAAAUUAUACUUGGAGCAGGAGAUUCAAUUAAGCGAGAUUCGGAAGCUAUAAUUUCGCCUUUCCCAUCAAUAGGUUUAGCCAGAGCAUUUACAACACGACCCAAGUAAGCCUCACUCACGGGUAUCUGAGCAAUUCUUCCUGUUGCUUUUACAAAACUUCCCUCUUAUAUCAUCAACCCAUCGCCCAUUAAUACAAUCCCAACAUUUUUGGAUUCCAAAUUCAGAGAAUACCCCUAGUACCUUCUGCAAAUUUGACUAAUUCACCUGACAUUAUUUCACCAAGACCUAUAAUACGAGCAAUCCCAUCCCCCACUUGAACUACGCGACCUAUAUUCUCAAUCCCUACUUUCCUAUUAUAUUGUUCAAUACGUUCGCGGAGAAUUUUAUGAAUUUCGUCGACUCGAAGGGUUGCCUAAAUUCUAAACGAAAGUAGAAGUUCAAGGCCUAAUUAAUUUAGUUAUCUCUUCCAUUCCAGGGACCCGAGAAUGCCAAUAUUAGCACGAAUCGUACGGAAAUGUAACUCGGUAUUCAAACAACUAUUCAGAGUUCCUAGAGCUCCUUGUACGGCCUGAUGGAAAACCCGCUGUCGGACCUGAUUCAUUGCCCUUUGUUUUUCAAAAUAAAGGGUUUCGUUUUUAGACUUUUCCAAUUGUUCCAAACUAAUAGAAGUAGCAUUAAUCAAAUUUGCUUUUUCUCGUUCUAUCUCAGAGUAUCCAUUCAUUCGAUACUCAUCCGCUUCUAGUUCGACUUUCUGUAAUCGAAUCCGAGCUUUUUCGAGUUGCUCAAUGGUCCCUCUACGCAAUUCUUCUGAAUUUCGAAUAGUACUCAAGAUCCUCUGUUUUCGAUUAUCUAAUAAAUCUUUUAAUGAAAGUAGAUUAUUUUGUAAGUUUACAACUUUUAUGAUCUCUUCCCGAACCAAACAUGAAUCUUUCGAUUCAUUUGGCUCUCACGCUCCUUUUUUUUCUAUAGCUAUUUCCAUAUCUUUUUUUUAAGUAAUGAGCCUAUCCUCUAUCUUCUUUUUUAUGUUUAUAUUUCAAUAUACCGAAACCUAUAUAAGACUAGAUAAAUAUUAAGAGGACUCUUCCCCCUAGAUAAAAAUAUAUCAUGGUCAGCAAAGUUGUUUCUUUAUUUUUAGUUGCCCUCUAGUUAAUAAUUUCAAUUUCAUUAAGAAAAACUAACUAAAUAAAUGGAAAAUGAAAAUUAAUAGAAUUCUUUUUUAUUUUUUUUCUUCAAAUCCAAAAAAUUUCUCUUUUUUAUACAUAGGUCGUCGAUUCGGCAUUGGUUAAAAAAGGGCAGGGUGCCCCCUUUUUUUUCUAGUAAAUAGUUCAAACCAUUUUAUCGAUAUGAGUGUUCUAUAUCAGAUAAAUUUUACAUUAGCUAUUUCCCGUUUAAAUUCGGUACUAAUACUAAUAUAGUUGUAGAAAGAGUACCUCUUUUUGCCAGGACUUCAAGCAGUUUAGCUUUAACCGUGUUAAUGGUCUCACAUUCUUGGUUUAUAGAGAAUCAAAGUUGAUUUACCAAUGAGUCGCGAAAUGCUAUGGUUCUUCCAUAUGAUUUCUGAAUUUAUUCAGAAGUAAUUCGUCGAGAUCGUGCACCCUUUUCUUAUUUAUCCGAAAAAUACUAAAAAAUAUUAUAAAGUGCAGCCGGAUAGAUCCAAUCUAUUCUUGAAAUAGACAACUCGCACACACUCCCUUUCCAAAAAAAAUCAAAACACCAACCACUACAGUUAGAUUUAUUAGAUUUGUUGCUAAAAUAUCGGUAUUCAGCCCGAAACUGCCAGCGGAUGG
rnacentral:lncRNA from 1 species